GGAACUGUCGUGAUUAUGUAACUUUGCAGGUUCUCCGGUGAGGAUGGGGGCCAGGAGUUAGAGAGGUAAGAAGAUCUGAAGAUGCAAGCCUCCUUACUGUGGGGCCACCUACAUGUCCCUCCCCUGGGUUCUGACUUUGCACACUCACCUCUCAUGGAGUCUCAGUCCUAGGGUGAACUCUCUCCCUGAAGUCCUCCAGUGAGCGGCAUGCAGAGGACAAAUUUUUCUUUUCCUUUAUCCCUAGGGUAGCACCAUCUUCCUGCUGAGACCCUCGAAUCUGCAGUCCAUCCUGUCAGAUGCCUGGUUUCACUUUGUCUUGUCUGUUUCCUGUAGCUAUCAAGCAUCCAUCCUUACACCUGCAAAAUACUCCUCCACCUGCUCAAGCCUCCCACAGAGUCAUCCCUCCAGUCAUUAUUUU
rnacentral:lncRNA from 1 species